UGAGCAAUCUGCCCUUCUCUUCGGAAUAAGCGUUGGAAACAACGUCUAAUGCCGAAUACGACCUCCUUUCGCAUGAUCGGAGGUGGAAAGCUCCGGCGGAGAAGGAUGAGCUCGCGGCCUAUCAGCUAGUUGGUGUGGGUAAUGGCCUACCAAGGCUUCGACGGGUAGCCGGCCUGAGAGGGUGAUCGGCCACACGUGGGACUGAGACACGGCCCAGACCUCCGUACGGGAGCAG
rnacentral:rRNA from 1 species